rnacentral:snoRNA from 1 species
AUUUCAUGAUGAAGGCACUUUCGUAAUAAAUCUUUGAAUCUUUCCCAUGCCUCAUACAAGGACUCAUCAUCCAUUUGUUAGAAAGCAGUAAUCUCAUUUCUCAGCUU